GCCGAGGUGGCGGAAUUGGCAGACGCGCUAGAUUCAGGUUCUAGUGUUCGCAAGGACGUGAGGGUUCGAGUCCCUCCUUCGGCA
rnacentral:tRNA from 1 species